AUGGGCUCCUCCUCCCUCCUCCUCUUCCCCUCGUCCUCCUCCUCCGCCCCCCGCUCCUCUUAUUCCCAUGCCACCGCCUCCUCCCACUGCCACCUGCUCCCCUGCCCUCCCGACUUCCUCCUCCACCUCCACCUCCUAGACCACCGAGAGCAAGAACCCGCCGCCGCCGCCAUGGUCCGCAAGCGCCCGGCGACCGACAUGGACCUGCCCCCGCCGCGGCGCCACGUCACGGGGGACCUCUCGGACAUGACCGCCGGACCGCCCGUGCUGUCGUCGGCCACCGCGCAGCUGCCCGCGCUGCCCUCCCAGCUGCUUCCGCCCUUCCAGCUCCAGCAGCAGCAGCAGCAGCAGCCCGUGGAUCAUAUGGACGUCGCCGCCGCGCCGGCGCAGGCGGGCGAGGCGGCCAACACCACGGCGUUCGUGGACGGCAUCAUCCGGGACAUCAUCGGGAGCAGCGGCGCCGGGGUGUCCGUCGCGCAGCUCAUCCACAACGUCCGCGAGAUCAUCCACCCCUGCAACCCCGGUCUGGCCUCGCUCCUCGAGCUCCGCCUCCGGUCCCUCCUCGCAUCCGACCCCGCCCCGCCGCAGCAGCAUCAGCAUCAGCCCGCUCUCCUCCCUAACGCCCCAAUGCCCAUGGUGGCGCUCCCUCCCCCGCCUCCGGACAAGCGGCGCCGCGAGGAGGAGCGGGAGCCCAACAACCCGCCGCAGUCGCCCAAGCCUCCGUCCGCAGAGGAAGCCGCCGCGGCCGCAGCGGCGGCGGCGGCUGCCGCCUCCGCGGCGGUGAAGGAGCGGAAGGAGGGGCAGCGGCGGAAGCAGCGCGACGAGGAGGGGCUCCACUUGCUGACGCUGCUCCUGCAGUGCGCGGAGUCGGUGAACGCCGACAACCUGGACGAGGCCCAGACGGCGCUGCUGGAGAUCGCGGAGCUGGCCACCCCCUUCGGCACCUCCACGCAGCGCGUGGCCGCCUACUUCGCGGAGGCCGUGUCGGCCCGCCUGGUCAGCUCCUGCCUGGGCCUCUACGCGCCGCUGCCCCACGCGUCCCCGGCGGCGUCCCGGCUGGUGAACGGCCGCGUGGCCGCGGCGUUCCAGGUGUUCAACGGCAUCAGCCCCCUGGUGAAGUUCUCCCACUUCACGGCGAACCAGGCGAUCCAGGAGGCGUUCGAGCGGGAGGAGCGCGUGCACAUCAUCGACCUGGACAUCAUGCAGGGGCUCCAGUGGCCGGGGCUGUUCCACAUCCUGGCGUCCCGGCCCGGCGGCCCGCCGAGGGUGAGGCUGACCGGGCUGGGCGCCUCCAUGGACGCCCUGGAGGCCACCGGGAAGCGGCUGUCGGAUUUCGCCGACACGCUGGGCCUGCCCUUCGAGUUCUGCCCCGUGGCGGACAAGGCCGGGAAUCUUGACCCGGAGAAGCUGGGCGUCACGCGGCGCGAGGCCGUCGCCGUCCACUGGCUGCACCAUUCCCUCUACGACGUCACCGGCUCCGACUCCAACACGCUGUGUCUCAUCAAGAGGUUGGCGCCCAAGGUGGUGACGAUGGUGGAGCAGGACCUGCGGCACACGGGGUCGUUCCUGGCGCGGUUCGUGGAGGCGAUCCACUACUACUCGGCGCUGUUCGACUCGCUGGACGCCAGCUACGGCGAGGACAGCCCGGAGCGGCACGUCGUGGAGCAGCAGCUGCUGUCGCGGGAGAUCCGCAACGUGCUGGCCGUGGGCGGGCCGUCGCGCACCGGCGACGUCAAGUUCGGCUGCUGGCGCGACAGCCUCGCCCGCUCCGGCUUCGGCGCCGCCUCGCUCGCCGGCAGCGCCGCCGCGCAGGCCGCGCUGCUCCUCGGCAUGUUCCCCUCCGACGGCUACACGCUCGUCGAGGAGAACGGCGCCCUCAAGCUCGGCUGGAAGGACCUCACCCUGCUCACCGCCUCCGCAUGGCGCCCCAUGCACGCUAGAGCUUAA
rnacentral:rRNA from 1 species